GAUGAAGAACGUAGCGAAAUGCGAUAAGUAAUGUGAAUUGUAGAAUUCAGUGAAUCAUCGAAUCUUUGAACGCACAUUGCGCCCGCCAGUAUUCUGGCGGGCAUGCCUGUCCGAGCGUCAUUUCAACCCUCGAACCCCUCCGGGGGGUCGGCGUUGGGGACCUCGGGAGCCCCUAAGACGGGAUCCCGGCCCCGAAAUACAGUGGCGGUCUCGCCGCAGCCUCUCCUGCGCAGUAGUUUGCACAACUCGCACCGGGAGCGCGGCGCGUCCACGUCCGUAAAACACCCAACUUCUGAAAUGUUGACCUCGGAUCAGGUAGGAAUACCCGCUGAACUUAAGCAUAUCAAUAAGCGGAGGA
rnacentral:misc_RNA from 1 species